AUGAAGGUCAUCCAUGUCACGCGGCCCGAUCGGGAAGCUCCGAUUCGUCUGCCCACCAGUCAGGUACGCCCUCUCCACUCCGCCCCGAUUCACCCCUUGCAUCAGUAUGACGAUGCCCUAGGAGCAAGGGAGAUCAAGGCAGAACCAGGGCUCUUGCCCGUGGAUCCUUCCGCACCCCCAGUCCCGAUCCCGUGUAUGGAGUAG
rnacentral:rRNA from 1 species